UAACCCGCUGGAACUAAGCAUAUCAAUAAGCGGAGGAAAAGAAACUAACAAGGAUUCCCCUAGUAACUGCGAGUGAAGCGGGAAAAGCUCAAAUUUAAAAUCUGGCAGUCUCUGGCUGUCCGAGUUGUAAUCUAGAGAAGUAAUGCCCGUGCUGGACCGUGUAUAAGUCUCCUGGGAUGGGGCGUCAUAGAGGGUGAGAAUCCCGUCUUUGACACGGACUACCAGUGCAUUGUGGUAUGCUCUCAAAGAGUCGAGUUGUUUGGGAAUGCAGCUCAAAAUGGGUGGUAAAUUCCAUCUAAAGCUAAAUAUUGGCGAGAGACCGAUAGCGAACAAGUACCGUGAGGGAAAGAUGAAAAGAACUUUGGAAAGAGAGUUAAACAGUACGUGAAAUUGCUGAAAGGGAAACGCUUGAAGUCAGUCGCGUUGGCCGGGAAUCAGCCUUGCUUUUGCAUGGUGUACUUUCUGGUUGACGGGUCAGCAUCAAUUUUGACCGCUGGAAAAAGACCUGGGGAAUGUGGCAGCUUCGGCUGUGUUAUAGCCCCUAGUCGCAUACAGUGGUUGGGAUUGAGGAACUCAGCACGCCGCAAGGCCGGGUUUCGACCACGUUCGUGCUUAGGAUGCUGGCAUAAUGGCUUUAAGCGACCCGUCUUGAAACACGGACCAAGGAGUCUAACAUGCCUGCGAGUAUUUGGGUGGAAAACUCAAGUGCGUAAUGAAAGUGAAAGUUGAGAUCCCUGUCGUGGGGAGCAUCGACGCCCGGACCAGAACUUUUGGGACGGAUCCGCGGUGGAGCAUGUAUGUUGGGACCCGAAAGAUGGUGAACUAUGCCUGAAUAGGGUGAAGCCAGAGGAAACUCUGGUGGAGGCUCGUAGCGAUUCUGACGUGCAAAUCGAUCGUCAAAUUUGGGUAUAGGGGCGAAAGACUAAUCGAACCAUCUAGUAGCUGGUUCCUGCCGAAUUCC
rnacentral:rRNA from 1 species